AUUGACAUCUUAAAUUGGAACCACUUUAAAUUCAACGUAUGGCCACAGAUGUUUUGGACCACUUAUAUUAAAUAAGUCAGUCAAAACUGAAGAUCAGCUUUUGAUCAUGAAGAGGAGAUUAGGUCACAGAUGUUCAAUAAGGAAAGACCAUGUGAAGACACAAGAAGAUGGUCAUCUGCAAGCCAAGAGAAAUGUCUCAAAAGGAACUGGCCCUGCUGACAUCUUGACCUUGAAUUUCCAGCCUCAGGUUCUUGGAUGCUUGAUGGAAUUAAGGAUUUGAGAACAUGAGAACAAACAGGAAUAUGCAGGAAAUCUUGAGGACACAGGAGAUGAAGUCAACCUGUGGCCAAGGGAGAGGGAGGGACAUGAGAAGCUUUGUGAAAGAUGUCAGCGCAAACCUCAGGCAAGUGCCACCCAACCUAGAGCUGUGGAUUGAAGUUUGGCGUUGGGGUGUCAGCCUGUGAUUUCCUGAUCUCCAACUCCACUCCUCUUAAGUCACCCAGCCUAAGGCACUGAACCUCAUCAUCAGAACCUCAGAGUCCAACAUCUUGACCAUAGCCUUGCAACCCCACUGUUAGGUGAGUUUCAAGUUCUCACUCCCCAUAAACUUCUUCAGACCACUGCUCCCUCGAAUGACUUUGUUUCCUCCCAGGUCAUCAGUUUCCUUAGUCAAUUUCCAAGUCCUAUCAGUUGUAGACACUACGAUUGGUCAUCCCAUCUGAGUGACUAUUUCACUUAAACUUGCCUUUCCUCCUCUGUUUGCAAUAACUCUCAUACAUAGCUCUAGCUUAACAUCCACGUUGCCUUCUCUAUUCUUACCUCCAGGACAGCAGAACACUAAACAUUAAGUUCUUCAAUGCUAAAAAACAUCCUGUAAUCACGAAAAUCAGCCCAGUACAAAUUCAUGCUCACUACACGUGGUUCUCAGCUGCUGUGGGGCCUCUCUCUUCCCUUCAGUAUCCACAGACUUGCAACGUUCUUCUCAGCCUUCCUUCGCACCACUAAAUUAUCUCAUUAAGUCAGGACCAUCUGGUGGGAACUCCUUUAACUUCCCAGGGCCCAGGAAAAAUAAACCAUAUUUACCCAUGCCUCCCUCUUUCUCCAUGUGCCUUUUCAAGAAGAGAGGCUCUUCUCCCAGUGUCUCUCUCCCUGAUUCCAUAUCACCCUCUCUUCUUUGGGAUACUUCUCCAAAGAGUGUGGUCUUUCAGGUAUCCUUACUGUCUUAUGACUGAGUCAUUCCACUUGGCUUAUGAACCUCUUUGUUGCUUAUUCCAGGCACUCUGAGUCUCCCCUGCAUUCAGUCUCCCUUCAGCAUACAACACUGUUCAUGAUGCUUUUUGUAAAGCCCUCUGCUUCCCCAUCCUCCUUAGAUCUUCUGCUACUACUCUGGCCAGUUUUUUCUCUGUCUGCUGCUUCUCCUUCCCUUGACCUAUUACUUCCUUCCUCCUCCUGAAGAAAUCUGAUCUGCAGCUCCUCUUCUGUUUUCAUCAGUGUGCUCACUCUUGAUGCUGCUGCUCCUGCAGCUACUGCCAAGUCUCACUUGAUAGACAGUACCCACUCCAUAUGGGGCAAGAAUAAAAAUCACCAAAAAUAGACAGUUAUAAACAAAUGUCCCUGCCCAUAAGAUUUAUGUAAUCGUACUUUAUCCAUGUGUUAUAUUGCUAAGGACAUGGUGACUGUGACAGAUGUAACAUAAUAGAUGCAAUUGACAUAUACAGUAUUUCUUAUAGCUAAACUACAGCUAAGUUAUUAUAUUUGAAAAAUAAUAUAUGAGACACAUCAAUAAUUGGUUUCAUUGUUAAAAAUAUACACACAAAGCAUCUUA
rnacentral:lncRNA from 1 species